AACACUACACUUGCAUAGGUCAUGACGGG
rnacentral:sRNA from 1 species